rnacentral:lncRNA from 1 species
CUUGAAUUUAAUUCUAGGAAUCAAUGGGUGUUCUCCAGUCUCACUGCCUGCUAACAAUGUUCAUCAGCUAAGAGAAGAGAAAGGUGGUGAUUUCUCAAAGCCCUUCACUGUACACAGGUCAAUCUCAGUAGUGAGAUUUGGUAGCUUGGUUACCUAUAGAAUUGGAGACCUAGAGACUUUGCUGCACAAGUGUCCACACCAGCUGCCAGUUCUGAGGAAGAGGAAUUGAUGCUGCAUCUUGUUGCCAUGGUUCAGCUGUGAAAACCACACCUCAUGGAACAAAAGCUUUUAAAGUAUGUGCUUAUCUCCUUUCAAGUCAGGACAGCUUUCUGAGACACGCAACUCUUUGAACUGUGUUACAUUAACCAAUACCCUGAUGACAUCAUGCUACACGACUGAUGAAAGUAAGUGGAUUUACAAGAACAGAUUGCAAGUCCUGGCAACUUCAAGAAUGGCUGCCAGAGCCGACUUGGACCACAAAGCCAUGAAAUACCUUGCUGAUAUAGGCAGCGUGUUUGGAGAAAAUCGCCUUCACAGUACGCACGCAGGUUUGCUGGAAAAGUUCCUUCUGCCUGGGAGCCAUUCCUGACGUAAUAGACUUUGUCUUGUAUCCAGUGUCUGAAAUCUCAGAGCCCCACAGUACUCGUCUGCUCUUUACUUGCUGAAUGCUUUCCCGCAGUGCUUUAACAAAAUGUUCCUGCUUUGCUAUACAAGCUACAGUAUUUAGGAAUUUAACAUGCUGUCAGCUUAACAUCUUCAUCCAGGCUUCAUCCCUUCGUUAGCCAAUUUUUAACCGCACUGUCGUUGGACCUGACUGUGCUUUCUCUGUGUAGUCCUGGGGUAUCUCAAACUUAUGUGCUGUUCUUUUAUUUAGGCUUGUCUGUGCUUCGUCAUGGUUUCAAUGGGGACUUUUUACUUGAUCGUGCUCAAGAGCACUUUGGCCAGACUUUCUGCCACUUCUGAAAAUGGUUUAAACGGAGGUUGAGUGUGCUUCAGUUUUGGGUGAUAGCCAUACGUCCCUCUGCUUUUCGUUGGGCUUCGCCAUGUUUCUGUCAUGCCUUACUGCACCUCUCUGCAGUAGCUCGAUGUUUCAGACGCCACGCUUGAGCGAUAACAGACCAAACUCAUCUUUUAUGUGUUUAUAUAGCCUGAGCUGGGCUUCC